rnacentral:rRNA from 1 species
CAACCAUUUGAGUCUGGGAUUUCUGAAUGGGGAAACCCACUUACAUAAGUAAGUAUCCUUACCUGAAUACAUAGGGUAAGGAGGCGAACCGGGGGAACUGAAACAUCUAAGUACCCCGAGGAAAAGAAAUCAACCGAGAUUCCGAAAGUAGCGGCGAGCGAAAUUGGACUAGCCCUUAAGCUUUACACGCGUUAGACGAACGGUCUGGAAAGUCCGACGAUACAGGGUGAUAGUCCCGUAGUUGACGACGUGUGUUCAGUGAAAUCGAGUAGGGCGGGACACGUGAUAUCCUGUCUGAAUAUGGGGGGACCAUCCUCCAAGGCUAAAUACUACUGACUGACCGAUAGUGAACCAGUACCGUGAGGGAAAGGCGAAAAGAACCCCUGUGAGGGGAGUGAAAUAGAACCUGAAACCGUGUACGUACAAGCAGUAGGAGCAGGCUUUGUCCUGUGACUGCGUACCUUUUGUAUAAUGGGUCAGCGACUUAUAUUCAGUGGCAAGGUUAACCAUCUAGGGGAGCCGUAGGGAAACCGAGUCUUAACUGGGCGUUCAGUCUCUGGAUAUAGACCCGAAACCAGGUGAUCUAGCCAUGGGCAGGUUGAAGGUUGAGUAACAUCAACUGGAGGACCGAACCGACUAAUGUUGAAAAAUUAGCGGAUGACUUGUGGCUAGGGGUGAAAGGCCAAUCAAACCUGGAGAUAGCUGGUUCUCCCCGAAAGCUAUUUAGGUAGCGCCUCGGACGAAUACUACUGGGGGUAGAGCACUGUUAAGGCUAGGGGGUCAUCCCGACUUACCAACCCUUUGCAAACUCCGAAUACCAGUAAGUACUAUCCGGGAGACACACGGCGGGUGCUAACGUCCGUCGUGGAGAGGGAAACAACCCAGACCGCCAGCUAAGGUCCCAAAUUACUACUAAGUGGGAAACGAUGUGGGAAGGCUCAGACAGCCAGGAUGUUGGCUUAGAAGCAGCCAUCAUUUAAAGAAAGCGUAAUAGCUCACUGGUCGAGUCGGCCUGCGCGGAAGAUGUAACGGGGCUAAGUAGUAAACCGAAGCUGCGGCAAUGUGCUUUUGCACAUUGGGUAGGGGAGCGUUCUGUAAGCGGUUGAAGGUGUGUGGUAACGCAUGCUGGACGUAUCAGAAGUGCGAAUGCUGACAUGAGUAACGAUAAAGGGGGUGAAAAACCUCCUCGCCGGAAGACCAAGGGUUCCUGUCCAACGUUAAUCGGGGCAGGGUAAGUCGACCCCUAAGGCGAGGCCGAAAGGCGUAGUCGAUGGGAAACGGGUUAAUAUUCCCGUACUUCUUACAAUUGCGAUGGGGGGACGGAGAAGGCUAGGUGGGCCUGGCGACGGUUGUCCAGGUUCAAGUGCGUAGGCUUGAGAGUUAGGUAAAUCCGGCUCUCUUUAAGGCUGAGACACGACGUCGAGCCACUACGGUGGUGAAGUCAUUGAUGCCAUGCUUCCAGGAAAAGCCUCUAAGCUUCAGAUUGUAAGGA